rnacentral:pre_miRNA from 1 species
GUGUGUUCUUAAGCUAAUGACACUUAAUCCGUAGCUGUUAUUGCUUGAGAAUACACGU